GAUUUAUACCUUUUAACGUUCAAACCUCACGAUUUACCACUUAUUUACAGAAUGUCUUUCUUGUCUAAUUAUCACCUAUUCAUGACUCUUGCCUGGAAAAUCCCAUGAACUGGUAGGCUACAGUCCAUGGGGUCGCAAAGACACGACUGAGCGACUUCACUUCACGACUUCCAACCGUCUAAUAGGCAGCAGGUUUCCAGUAGGGAAACUGAGGAGUAAUGUAUUAAAGCCAGCCCUGCAGUCGUUGGUGACAAGAGACUGAAAUAACAGGUCAGCUUUCGCGCGGUGCCGGCACACAGAUACAGAGUCACCCCGAAGGAGCACUAUCCCCAGGAUCUGGGCGUGAAUCUGAGCGUGUUCCUGGCUUAGGAAAAUCUCAUCGCACCUUUGCAGAACAGUUUGAUUUCAUCUUCCGAUAAAUCCCUAACUCUGUAGUGUGCGUCCAGCACAGACGCACACUAGGAUCCGUCCACUCGGCCCUUCCCCAUCACAGAAGCAAAUCCGCCCGUCUCAAGAGUCCGGCUCCAACCGCAUCUCCUUUUUCUCCCCUUUCUUCCCCCGCAGCCAGGACAACCCACGACGCCCCCAAGCACUCCAACCCGGAGAACCAGAUCUAGUCCCUCGCGCGAGGCUACCAGCGCGCCUGCGCCGCCCGGCAGCCUCGCGCAUGCCCGCUGUCUCCUGCCGGUUUUCCCCAGGUGCUCGAGCUCUCAGGCUCCCGCGGUUCCGGGACGCCGCGCGCCUGAUGGCUCGGCUUCCGGCUCCCACGCCUUGGGCCGCGCGACCCGGCACCCGGCUGCCCGGCGAUGACGUUCCGAUGCUGGCGGGCUGUGGGUGGGCGUGGAGCGAGAACAGGGAUGGAGGUGGAGAAGUGGGGCGCUCCAGCCUGUGGUUCACCCAGCGGGGCUUAGUCUUGCGACUCAUUCCACGCACGGAAUUUAUCCCGUCCGCCUGUGAUCUGGAUUUCUCAGCUUCUAUUCCCUGUCCCUGGAAUAUCGGGGACUGACUGAACAUCAUACGAGAUCUUGCUUCACUUGCUCAUCCUGUUUAAGCCCCUCAGAGAAAUUCAAAGAGUUUCCGUUGGUGGAAACCCUUUUGCAUAGCAACUCUUUUUAUGUUUUCCCACCGACUCCCCACACUAGCUUGCAAGGGACUCGAUGUCCUGAGAACUUUGGAAACAUGUCCAAAGUGAUACUGCUUAUGUGAUGGCCCCAGGAUCUGAUCAGUGACGCCUCCGCAUAUAAACAUGGGCUUCAAAUUGAUCAAUAAAUUAAAGCACUAUAAAAAAGGGAGGUAACUAGUUAGCAAGAUCCUUUCUUUCUAAAGUCAAUAAGCCAAUAAGGCAUGGAGUAUUAC
ensembl:lncRNA